ACAUACCUGCCUACCUGGGUCCAGUUGUGUCCUGUGACUCCUGCUUUCCUGGGACAGGCAGGCUGCUCCGUGCCUCCUGGCCAUCCUCCUGGGUGCUGGACACUGCAGGCUGCUCCAUGCCUGUUGGCCAUUCCCUUUGGUGCUGGACAGCACUCACAUUGUGAAAUCCACUGGCCCUGUGAAAAACACCUGGAAAUGUUACCGGGAGAGGGGUUAGUUCUCUUUUUGGCAACCCAUGUUAUUGCUUAUGGCUUAAUAUCUGUGCCUCCAAGAUCCCUUCUCUCUGCCUUCAUCGAUGCCAGGAAAGCAGUCACCUUUUGCCUUUCUUUGCUUCUCAGCAAGUGGCAUGUCUCCAUGUCACUUUAAGCAUCAAGCACAUGGAGCCCAAUAAGAUGCUGAAAAGUGUCUGCCUACAAGGUUACAAGGUGGUGGAGACAUUCUGAGCCG
rnacentral:lncRNA from 1 species